rnacentral:rRNA from 1 species
CGAACGCUGGCGGCAGGCUUAACACAUGCAAGUCGAACGGUUGUAGCAAUACAGCAGUGGCAGACGGGUGAGUAACACGUGGGAACCUUCCUAGGGGUACGGAACAACUCAGGGAAACUUGAGCUAAUACCGUAUACGUCCGUGAGGAGAAAGAUUUAUCGCCCUUAGACGGGCCCGCGUCGGAUUAGCUAGUUGGUGGGGUAACGGCCUACCAAGGCGACGAUCCGUAGCUGAUCUUAGAGGAUGAUCAGCCACACUGGGACUGAGACACGGCCCAGACUCCUACGGGAGGCAGCAGUGGGGAAUCUUGGACAAUGGGCGCAAGCCUGAUCCAGCCAUGCCGCGUGAGUGAAGAAGGUCUUCGGAUUGUAAAGCUCUUUUACCAGGGACGAUAAUGACGGUACCUGGAGAAUAAGCCCCGGCAAACUUCGUGCCAGCAG